AAAAAUUGGAACGAUACAGAGAAGAUUAGCAUGGGCCCUGUGCAAGGAUGACAUGCAAAUUCGUGAAGCGUUCCAUAUAAAA
rnacentral:snRNA from 1 species